GACGAACGCUGGCGGCGUGCUUAACACAUGCAAGUCGAACGGAAAGGCCCCCUUGUGGGGUACUCGAGUGGCGAACGGGUGAGUAACACGUGAGUAACCUACCCUUGACUUUGGGAUAACUUCAGGAAACUGGGGCUAAUACCGGAUAGGAGCUCCUGCUGCAUGGUGGGGGUUGGAAAGUUUCGGCGGUUGGGGAUGGACUCGCGGCUUAUCAGCUUGUUGGUGGGGUAGUGGCUCACCAAGGCUUUGACGGGUAGCCGGCCUGAGAGGGUGACCGGCCACAUUGGGACUGAGAUACGGCCCAGACUCCUACGGGAGGCAGCAGUGGGGAAUAUUGCACAAUGGGCGGAAGCCUGAUGCAGCAACGCCGCGUGCGGGAUGACGGCCUUCGGGUUGUAAACCGCUUUCGCCUGUGACGAAGCGUGAGCGACGGUAAUGGGUAAAGAAGCACCGGCUAACUACGUG
rnacentral:rRNA from 1 species